AUAAAACCAGACCAGACCUCCUUUUUCUGAGAUUCCUAGCAGAUUUCUUGUCCACCGAACUGCAACUGAAUGGAAUCAGCUGCUCUGCUUCACCCCGUGAUCGGAGUUUAUGGGUUUCUGUUGGCUUCUUUUUUUUCUUCACUACGUUGAUCGUUUGUCUUCCUCCGACAGCACACCAAAAUGCCCCGCUUCUUGGGAACAUCUAAUCGUUGCUCACGCAACAACAGUUCAAGGAUGUGACCGGUUGUUCCGGACGGAGCUGGUGACAAUAAUAUAUUUAUUGAUUGUAUAAGGUGUAAAUGGGAUCGGCCUUAUUUUCCGGUGAGCCAAUUGUAUGUACAGAGAAUUUAAUAAAACCAAAUGAAUUGACGUAAGCAUGGCUGAUGGCCGGCUGCUCCCUUCCUUUAAUAAUUUCGAUCUCAUCG
rnacentral:lncRNA from 1 species